rnacentral:lncRNA from 1 species
AAAUGCUGCUUUAAUUAUAAAAAUAUUAUAUAUUAAAAAUUCUAAACAAUGCCAAGCAAAUGUCAUUGCCCAAGUAGAAGGUAAGUUGUAUUUUUGUUUGUUUUACUUUUGGUAGUUUUUGAAGAAAAAUUAAAAUAAUAUAACACAUGCUUCAUCAUUGCAAAACUGUAUCCUACUACCGCUGGGAGAUUGUUGCAAGAAUGUAUUAUUCCUCAGCAAAUAUUAUAUAAAGCCAUAACUUCUCAAUUACAAAGCCAUAACUUCUUAAUAUUAGGGUGAAAAUAAUUAUUGUGUGCCAACAAAAAUAAAAAAUAAAUUGCUCAUAGAAUAUUCUAUAAAGGUUUGUUUGUGUACUAUUGAGUAUGAUACUCAUAUGAUCUAUAACAUAAACCUUUCACAUAUACAAUAGCUUAAAAGACAACGAGGUCGGAAAGCAAACGGACAGUAACGUCUUGGACAGUCAGAAUCUUCUUCACAUCUAAACCCUGUUGUAUCACAAAAGAAAAGAAAAUAAUGUUAUAAAGUGGGGAUAAAACAAGUAAAGAAGGAAUUUGAAAAGGAUAAAAAAAUUACUUACCUUCAACAUUUGUUACAAUAAUAGUUAAGAAAGAAAAUGUGAUCAUAAUAUAAACAAACUUAACAAUUUCAGGCAUAUUAUUAUUUUAUCACUUUGUGAAAAUUUAUUUAAAAGAAUAUGAAUUAUCACCUUUGUAUUUAUAAAACUCACACUCUCCUUACAUCAUUAAAGUAGUUUUUACGUUUAUAUAAUUGUAAAAAAAAAAAGAUUGAAAAUUAAAAUAUUGUUAAAUAUUAUUUAAGUACAUCAAUGCGUUUUAUUUGUCUCUUUAGCAC